rnacentral:misc_RNA from 1 species
CCGAGUUUUUAACUCCCGAACCCACUGUGAACCUUACCAACACGUUGCCUCGGCGGGACCGCCCCGGGCCCCCGGGCCCGGAACCAGGCGCCCGCCGGGGACCCCGAACUCUUAUGUUUCCCCCAGCGGCAUUGACUCUGAGUGGCCUUAACGGCGAAGCAAAUGAAUCA